rnacentral:rRNA from 1 species
GACGAACGCUGGCGGCGUGCCUAACACAUGCAAGUCAACUUGAGGGAAGGAGCAAUCUGACCUGAUGGUGGCGCAAAGGGUGCGUAACGCGUAAGUAACUUGCCCAAGGUAAGGAAUAACGUCGAGAAAUCGGCGCUAAUACCUCAUAAUGCAGCGGAUCCGCAUGGAUAUGUUGUUAAAGGUUUACCGCCUUGGGAUAGGCUUGCGUCUGAUUAGCUAGUUGGGUGUUGGGUAAAUUGGGCACACCAAGGCUACGAUCAGUAACUGGUCUGAGAGGAUAAUCAGUCACACUGGAACUGAGACACGGUCCAGACU